rnacentral:lncRNA from 1 species
AUUCGCUCCACCACCCAGGCCUCCUGCUGAGGCACAAACAGGAUCACGGUGUUUCGGGGCAGUCCAGAGGAGGCGCGGCGCGGAACCCGGCCAGAAGCCUGCACCGAGCCCUGAAGGAAGACGAGACAGAAGGGCUCCAGUGCCCCGCGCCGCGCGCGCCAGCAUUUCCCGCAGCCUCGGCGACCUCCGGAACCAACGAGAGGUGGGGCAGAGCGGCCUCUCCUGAAGCCUGAACCCGAGCCCUUCCCUCGGCGGCUCCACUCCGCCCGACGUACUUCCGGCGUCUUAGUCCGCCCUCCCAUCCCCACUAGUCGGCGUCCGUCAAAUCGUUCCCUGGGAAACGUAGGCUUUGAAGAGAGAGCCCGAGAGUGCAAGUUUGUUCUGGUUCUCAAUCCCUACGAAGCUCCCGGGCGGUGUGGUAGGAACUGAGGCAAUAGUCUGUCCGCAGGUGGCACGGGAACACCGCCCACCAAAUUCUGUACCCACAGCGGUGACUCAGUUUACCCUCCAGCUCGUGCAUAACUGUCCUGAUCUGUCACCAUGACGACCAUGGAUUGAAUUGGCGCUCAGUAGUUGCCCGUGGUUGCCAUAGUGACAUUCUUGGGUAGUCAUGCUGUUGUGCCCAGCUCUCCCACUGGGGACUGACCCCAUUCCCGUUGUCAUGGUAACUAGGAGGCCUAACUUUACCUGAUGGCUGGGCGGAGAUUUCUCCCUUCCCUCUUUUCCCAAGGCAUCAACAGCUUUUUCAUUUUUUUUUUUUUUUCUGAGCCAGAAACGGUCAGGCCUGAUCCCCUUACAUACAGAGCCUCACUCAACCUUUCAUUUUUGUCUGGAACACGUCACCUUGCUCAGGUCUCUGACACUCUCUCAAAUACAAGCUUUAAGAGGCCUGUAUCCUCAUCCUCAUCUCCUUCUUCUCAUUCUCCUCCUCCUUCAUUUUACAUAUACAGACACUGAGGUUCUGAUGGGGCUAAACUACAGAAUCAAUGUAAGACUCCAGAUUCUCAGAGUUUAGCUUCUGUAGCUUCACUUUACCCACCCAGCCCCCAACACCUUACAUGAAAAGGAAUAAGACCAUGGUCCAAGACUCAGCUCGUCCUAGCCUAAGAUCUCAUGGGUUUGAGCCUGUUGCCAGAAUUCCAGCUCGCUUUAGACCCCACAUCUCCAUCCUCUUGAACACACAAAAAAGGUAGAGGUUAGUUCAAGUUUCCAAACAAGAAUUUAUUCUUUAUUUUUCUCCUUAAAAAAUGUACCAGGUACAAUUUUUCCU